AUAGAAUGUAAAAACAAAAACCUAGGAAACCCAAAACUCAAUGAAAUAGUUUAAAAUUAAAAUUAAUCAUUAAAAAUCAACAUAUAAAGAAAGGCUUCAUUGACAUAUAAUCAUCACAUAUAAUUCUCCUUUCCAUUGAAUAGAGAUAUGUGGAAAUAAUUUGGUAGAAAUUCUAGAUUUUGCAUUUGGAAGAAAAAAGAAGGGAAAAUUUAUCUCUGUUUUUUGGAGCCAUCAUUAGCUUAAUGGCUUUGAGUGAGCAAGAUGAAUAUGACCCAACAGUCCUAACUAUUUAUUCCCCUGGGAAAGGCAGCAGCCUAAUGUCAUCACAAACAGAGCUCUGCAUUGGCUUUAUUUGAAAACCCUUGUUUUUUCUUGAGAAAACCAUGACUUCUCUUUCUUUUACAAUGCACAUGUAGUAUUGUGUCCUAACAGCCCUGAAUGUCUAGAGAUUUGGGCCACGGCACAGGAAGAAUUAAUCACCUUGGGCUCGGUCUUCCCCACCCGGAGCAGCGAGCACCAGGCCCCCGAUGCAGAGCAGCGGUAAGCGGUCUCCCCCGGAGACGGCAGAGCAGGCCACCGGCAACACCUGAACAGAGGAAGAAUGAGAUGAAGUUACAGGAGGAACGAGAGAGCGUCCCCGGCUCGUGAAGGACGAGGCGUGUGAUUGGGUCUGCGUCGCCGGCCUGGCAGCUGUCCCUGCAGCCCCAUAUUGCAGGGGGGGAUGCGGGGGCAGCCCGGUGAGGCGGAGCAGGGAAACUGGGUGCGAGGAGGUGGGGCUGGAGGCCUGAACAACUAAGCCGCACUGCCACUAGGUGCCCCCUGAUUCUCAAUGGGAGCACCAUUGCAGGGGGGACAGUGGCAGUGCCGGGAGGGAGGGCAAAGGAGUAUUACUGAUUUCUCCUGGGUCUCCCCUCCUCCCUGUUCUCCCCUUCUCCUCUUUACCUCCCCUUUUUUUCCAUUCUAGACCACAGCCCCCCUACUGUCCUGCUCUGGAAUUCAUCACUGGCCUGCCCCCUACCAUCCUGCCCUGGAAUUCAUCGCCUGCCUGCCCCCUACCAUCCUGCCCUGGAAUUUCUCGCCUGCCUGCCGACAGCCACCCCAGGACACGCCUGCUUCAUCAUUCCUGGGCCCCUCAGCCAAGACAACUCCAGCCCCUCUCCCGGGGUGUCCCCUGGGGCCUAACCUUCCCCAGGGCCCCUUCUCCCU